CGGCGUGCUUAACACAUGCAAGUCGAACGAGAAGAGAUGAGAAGCUUGCUUCUUAUUGAUUCGAGUGGCAAACGGGUGAGUAACGCGUAAGCAACCUGCCCUUCAGAUGGGGGACAACAGCUGGAAACGGCUGCUAAUACCGAAUACGUUCUUUUUGUCGCAUGGCAGAGGGAAGAAAGGGAGGCUCUUCGGAGCUUUCGCUGAAGGAGGGGCUUGCGUCUGAUUAGCUAGUUGGAGGGGUAACGGCCCACCAAGGCGACGAUCAGUAGCCGGUCUGAGAGGAUGAACGGCCACAUUGGGACUGAGACACGGCCCAGACUCCUACGGGAGGCAGCAGUGGGGAAUCUUCCGCAAUGGACGAAAGUCUGACGGAGCAACGCCGCGUGAACGAUGACGGCCUUCGGGUUGUAAAGUUCUGUUAUACGGGACGAAUGGCGUAGCGGUCAAUACCCGUUACGAGUGACGGUACCGUAAGAGAAAGCCACGGCUAACUACGUG
rnacentral:rRNA from 1 species